GCCAGAGUAGCUCAGUGGUAGAGCAGCUGAUUCGUAAUCAGCAGGUCGCGAGUCCGAACCUCGCCUCUGGCUCCA
rnacentral:tRNA from 1 species